AUUGAACGCUGGCGGCAGGCCUAACACAUGCAAGUCGAGCGGAGCGGCGGACGGGUGAGUAAUGACUAGGAAGCUGCCUGGUAGUGGGGGAUAACGUCCGGAAACGGACGCUAAUUCCGCAUACAAUCAGUUAAGCCUAGGGAGGUUUAGUUAGAUGGUGGGGUAAAGGCCUACCAAGGCGACGAACCCUAACUGGUCUGAGAGGAUGAUCAGUCAAACUGGAACUGAGACACGGUCCAGACUCCUACGGGAGGCAGCAGUGGGGAAUAUUGGACAAUGGGCGAAAGCCUGAGGCAGCCAUGCCGCGUGUGUGAAGAAGGUCUUCGGAUUGUAAAGCACUUUAAGUUGGGAGGCGUUACCAACAGAAUAAGCACCGGCUAACUCCGUGCCAGCAGCCGCGGUAAUAC
rnacentral:rRNA from 1 species